rnacentral:rRNA from 1 species
CCUACGGGAGGCAGCAGUGGGGAAUAUUGCACAAUGGGCGCAAGCCUGAUGCAGCGACGCCGCGUGAGGGAUGACGGCCUUCGGGUUGUAAACCUCUUUCAGCAGGGGAGAAGCGAAAGUGACGGUACCUGCAGAAGAAGCGCCGGCUAACUACGUGCCAGCAGCCGCGGUAAUACGUAGGGCGCGAGCGUUGUCCGGAAUUACUGGGCGUAAAGAGCUUGUAGGCGGUUUGUCGCGUCUGCUGUGAAAGCCCGGGGCUUAACCCCGGGUUUGCAGUGGGUACGGGCAGACUAGAGUGCAGUAGGGGAGACUGGAAUUCCUGGUGUAGCGGUGAAAUGCGCAGAUAUCAGGAGGAACACCAAUGGCGAAGGCAGGUCUCUGGGCUGUAACUGACGCUGAGAAGCGAAAGCAUGGGGAGCGAACAGGAUUAGAUACCCUGGUAGUCCAUGCCGUAAACGUUGGGCACUAGGUGUGGGGAACAUUCCACGUUUUCCGCGCCGUAGCUAACGCAUUAAGUGCCCCGCCUGGGGAGUACGGCCGCAAGGCUAAAACUCAAAGGAAUUGACGG